rnacentral:rRNA from 1 species
CGCGAAUUGCUCAUUACAACAGCCUUAGUUUAUUGGAUCUUAGAGUCCUACUUGGAUAACUGUGGUAAUUCUAGAGCUAAUACACGCAAUUAAUCCUCAACCUUACGGGCGAGGAGCAUUUAUUAGAACAAAACCAAUCGGCUUCGGCCGUAUCUGGUGAAUCUGAAUAACUACGCUGAUCGCAUGGUCUCGUACCGGCGACAUAUCCUUCAAGUGUCUGCCUUAUCAACUGUCGAUGGUAGUUUACACGCCUACCAUGGUUGUAACGGGUAACGGAGAAUAAGGGUUCGACUCCGGAGAGGGAGCCUGAGAAACGGCUACCACAUCCAAGGAAGGCAGCAGGCGCGCAAAUUACCCACUCUCAGAACGAGGAGGUAGUGACGAAAAAUAACGAGACAGUUCUCUAUGAGGUCUGUCAUCGGAAUGGGUACAAUUUAAACCCUUUAACGAGGAUCUAUUGGAGGGCAAGUCUGGUGCCAGCAGCCGCGGUAAUUCCAGCUCCAAUAGCGUAUAUUAAAGUUGUUGCGGUUAAAAAGCUCGUAGUUGGAUCUGCGGUCGUAGACUCUGGUUCCCUCCUAGGGAUACUAGCUGUCUCGACCUACCUUGUUAGAUUUCCCUUGGUGCUCUUUACUGAGUGCCUUGGGUGUCUAGCUCGUUUACUUUGAAAAAAUUAGAGUGCUUAAAGCAGGCAUUUGCCUGAAUAGUGGUGCAUGGAAUAAUGGAAUAGGACCUCGGUUCUAUUUUGUUGGUUUUCGGAGCAUGAGGUAAUGAUUAAGAGGGACAGACGGGGGCAUUCGUACUGCUACGUUAGAGGUGAAAUUCUUGGAUCGUAGCAUGACGAACAACUGCGAAAGCAUUUGCCAAGAAUGUUUUCAUUAAUCAAGAACGAUAGUUAGAGGUUCGAAGGCGAUCAGAUACCGCCC